rnacentral:tRNA from 1 species
UGGGGAAUAGCCAAGUUGGUAAGGCAUCGGAUUUUGAUUCCGUGCACCGUAGGUUCGAGUCCUACUUCCCCAGCCA